GAAAGGGGGGUGGCAGCAGAAGGAGCUACUCCCAGGCCGUUGCACCGUGACCAGAGCAGCCCGUGAUCAUAGCUCUGAACCCGCCUCGUUCCGGGCUUCCUCCUCCGUUCCCUCCUCCUUCUGCACAGACACCCCCAGGGUCUCUCCGUAGAGCCUUCGAGAGCCCACGGUGGCCCGGGGCGCCGCGCCCUGACCCGCGCUCUAGGGUCGUGGAAGACGGCGCCCCAUCUGGGGAGACUGCGGCGCUAAGCCUCAAGUACCCCCAGGGACGCCGAGGAACGGAGAAACGCGAGCCAGAGCAACACCCGCCCCCCAGGAGCCGGGAACAAAGACCCCUUUGUUCCAGCUCUGUCCCUCUCCCGGGAGACCAGAGUCCCGUGGGUGUGGUGUCGUGGAGAGGAGGAGACAGGUCACCGCAGUAAAAGAAGAUUCAUAGUAUGUCUCGAAAACUAUACCUGAUCCGGGAAGAGAACUCAAGUAUUACACUUUCCUUGUGCAGUGACACUAUUAGGAGGUAUUAACAAGGUAUGUCCUUGUUGGAACAGGUGUGACCUUGUUGGAGGAAGUGUGUCACUGUGGUGGUGGGCUUCGAGGUCCUAUGCUUAAGUUCCACACAGUGCAGAAGAUACAUUCUCCUUCUGGUUGCCUUCAGAUCAAUAUGCAGAAUUUCCAGCUCCUUCUCCAGCAAUACAUCUGCCUGGAUGCUACCGUGGUAGCAUGGUAAUAGUGGACAGAACCUCUGAACCUGUAAGCCAGCCAUAAUUAAAUGUUUUCCUAUAUAAGUGUUGCCUUGGUCAUGGUGCCUCUCCACAGCAAUAAAACCUUAAGACACUG
rnacentral:lncRNA from 1 species